AUUGAACGCUGGCGGCAUGCUUUACACAUGCAAGUCGAACGGCAGCGGGGGCUUCGGCCUGCCGGCGAGUGGCGAACGGGUGAGUAAUGCAUCGGAACGUGCCCAUGUCGUGGGGGAUAACGUAGCGAAAGCUACGCUAAUACCGCAUACGCCCUGAGGGGGGAAAGCGGGGGAUUCUUCGGAACCUCGCGCGAUUGGAGCGGCCGAUGUCGGAUUAGCUAGUAGGUGAGGUAAAGGCUCACCUAGGCGACGAUCCGUAGCGGGUCUGAGAGGAUGAUCCGCCACACUGGGACUGAGACACGGCCCAGACUCCUACGGGAGGCAGCAGUGGGGAAUUUUGGACAAUGGGCGCAAGCCUGAUCCAGCCAUGCCGCGUGAGUGAAGAAGGCCCUCGGGUUGUAAAGCUCUUUUGUCCGGAAAGAAAAGCUUUGGGUUAAUACCCCGAAGUCCUGACGGUACCGGAAGAAUAAGCACCGGCUAACUUCGUGCCAGCAGCCGCGGUAAUUGCG
rnacentral:rRNA from 1 species